rnacentral:lncRNA from 1 species
AUGGCUAUUAUUUUUUUUAAACCUUCCCCUCCAGCCUCUGUUCUUAAAAGAAGGACUUUGGGGAGAAGCUGGGAUCUGCACCAGAAGCAAUUUUGCAAUGGACUCAGAGCCCUUUAUUAUCUUUCUGCCUCGUUUUCCCCAUCCCCUUUCCCCAUCUCCCCUUUUUCUGCUGGUGCCUGCCUGCUUUCAGGGAGCACCGUGGCUCCGUGGGAGCUGGAUGCUGGGCUCAGAUGUGAUGCUGCAGCUGCCCAGGGGUGGAGGCAGCUCUUCCACACAGGGGAUUCGGCUCAGGGAAAGGGAUUUUUUCCUGUUUUGUCUGGAAAUGCUGUCCCAGUAAUCAGCAGGUACAGCUCAUGAAAGACAUUUGGACAAUGAUGGGAGAUCAUUGCUGUGACAGUAAGACAAGGCAAGAGAAAAUCAAGACCCUGUUGUUUAUGGAUACGUAGCCACGUUUCUGCAGUGCCUGGAGGAUUUGGGAACAUCAGGGAGUGAAGAUAUGAUCGUAAGCAACCACGAGCUAAAGGAAUUGACCGAGCAGCCUGCUUAGCAAACCUCUGUUCAUCACCUGGGCUCCAGCACCCAACUGCGCGUGUGGUCCUUCCCCGACCCACGUACAGAGUUUCAGGUCUUAGCUCAUCGAAUGCCAAUCACCUGCAGGCUCUCCCAUGAGUAAAUCAGUUUUGAAAACCAAAUUCAGGCUCUGAAGUCAAUUAGGCAUUGCGAAGUCAGGCUCUGUAACACCUAAUCUCCUGCUGGUUGGGCCAAAGAGAGAGUUAGGGAUCUCCAAAGCAGUUGAGACCAGAUAUUUGAUUUGAUUCCAUACCAGCUGUGAAACAUUAAAAGGUUUGGAGGAUUCAGUGGAAAAUGAAGGCAAAAUGCGAUUUUUUUUUUUUUGAGUUACCCCUUCAACUUUGGUAGCAAUUUCUUUGGAGGCUCGGUGGGUAUAUUUGGUAGUGAUUGCUGACAUGUUAAUUUUCAAAGAAAAGCAUCACUUUUAUGAGUAGGAUCCACAUCAAAUCCACUAAGCAAAUGAUGAAGACCGUUUUAAAAUCACUUGAAAGCUUUCAGCCAUGCUCACAGGUAUUCUAUCGAAUAUUCUGAUCUAGUAAACCACUGCAUGGACGCUGCUGCCUUCCCCACCGAGUCCUUGUCCCCAAGCCUGCUAAUUCCAGCAGGAUUUCUCUGUAGGUAGUAAUCCAAGAAUAGGGUCUCUGAAGCUCAGAGCCACAUACUAUUGGUGCCUACACCUCUUCUAGUAGCUGAGAUGGUUCAGCAACUGUUUUCUGGCUUGGAAGAGCAUUUGCACAGCACAGCCCACAUCCAAGCACCCGAAUACUCACCAAAACACAGUGGUUUCAACCACGCCAGCCUGGAAAGUGUCAGAAAGCAAGGACAAAACCAUGCUGCCCUCCAUCCCAGGAGCAGGGACCCUGCUUGUACAAGUUUUUUCCCAUUCUGAGACUGCUUGCAUCUCGCUAUGCCAGCCUGUCUCCAGCUGCUUGCUGUAUUACUUUACGUUUAGAGACUGUUUGCACAGCACAGCCAAGGGUUGGUUUGUUAUUGUGGGUCUUUUGUUUGUUUGGUUUGGUUUGUUAAGCUACCUUUCAUUUAGGCACGUGCCAAAAAUAUAAACAAAAAAACAGUGUCACAACAUUUCCUAAUGCUAAGCUGUAAAAUUGCCAUUCAGAGACAAAUUUAGAGAAAUUUGAUGUUAUUUCUAAUGCAUUAAUCUCGAACCAGUUUUGGCAAUCAGUCCCUAAAGACAGGCAAAGAGGGAGCUAGCAGACAAUCUCUGAACCCUCAAAAUCAGGCCAUUUCUCUAAGGAUUUAGAUUUGGGUACCAAAGCAUACAAUCACUCAUUGAACAGUGAGUAAGCAAGAAUUUUAUUCUCAUUUCUGAGCCAGUAAACCCCACUACUACUAUCUGUAAGUCCCUUUGGUGGUGUCCCAGUGCUGUGACUUCUCAGAAUGGCUGGAAUCCUCAGAAAUCUGAAAACACAUGAAAAAAAAAAACGUAUUUUGAUGGCACCCAAUGUCAAAGGCAGUAGCCACGAACAUACAGAGAGAAAACCUUUCAGCAAGGGCUGCAAAACAAGCAGCUUAAAUCCGAGGUAUCCACGGUCACCAGUCUCAUUAGGAAGUCUGGAUGCGUUUGCCCGUGGCAGAUGCUAUUCUUCCUGGCUUGCCUAGAGCAUCCCCGCUGCUGUUGAGCACAUUUCGAUUAAUGCAAAGAAGGUGAAUGUGUUUAACUGCAGGUGGCUCUCUGUGGUAGGCAGACAGCUCCGUGGAGCCACGCUGAAGGCUGCCAAGGAGGAAUUCGGAGUUGUCUCUGUUUGCACAGAAGGCCCUCAGUGACUUGGAAAGCGUAGCAGAAGGAAAUGUUUUCCCCGUGACAUACUAGGGGGCUGCCUACGAUCAGCAUCCUUCCAGCAGCUGGGCUUGAUACACGUUGUCAGCAGCCUGGGAGUCCUGUUGGGCUCCCAACAUCGAGAAUGAAUUUGGAACAAGCAGGCAGGGACAAAGAGCCCUGUACCUCUGGUCAUGCUACAGCGAGUCCUCGUGUAACUGGGUUGGAAGACUGAGUAUGUUAGAAUAUAUUUAACUUGAGCUGCUUGUUCCAAAUAAUGGCUACUUUCAGACAAAAAUAGUGAGAGAAGACAGGUCCUGCAGAGCCACAAGGGAGAGCACAGGGAUCCUAAAUUUCCCUUCACUAUAGGAAACAGCUGGAUGUGGGCUCACCCUUUAUAAGACAGCAGAGAAUCCACAAAGCCAUGCUCCACUCAGAAACACAAGUCAAGGCGAAAUGAGGCUGCUUUGGCUCUGCUAAUCCCAGAACUUCAGUUCUUUUCUGCAGAGUGAGGUGAUGCCGUGGCUUGUGCUUGCGUUUCUCUGAGAGACAGAAAAAAACUCCCAUCACGCAUUUUCUCUUCACUCUCUCCCCUGGUAAAUGACAUUUUUUUAAUCUCUACUUCACCGCUGGAUUUCCAGGUCGACGUUUCCACCGUGUUGGCACACUGGGAAUGAAUUUGCCUUUCAAUAUUGCUGCAUUCAGGCAACAUGAAGGGGUGGCUUGGAGGUGCCACAGGACACAUGAGGCUCUUUCCGGUGUUCCCAUCGUUCACAAAACCCACCUAAGGGGGGACCUGAGCCUCCCUUUUGAACCAAAGCUUUAAAAGCAGUUUGUUUUGGCCUCCUCAAGAGCCGCAGGCCAAGCGAGCUACAGGCGUUUGUUCUGAAUCCAUAAAUCUAACAAGCCAUAAAGUGGUUUCCUAAUCCUUUUAUUUUACAGGGCACACAUUUUCCCCGCGAGCUGUGCCCCUUCUUAGCUGCGAUUUGGGGGAAAUCUGCAGAAGGAAACCGUUCCAGCUGUUGGAGCUGGCUGUCUCCAGCUGCUGCAUUUUCCUCGUUUUCUGGGCAGCCUGCUUGCACAAAUGAGGUGCUCCAACCUGUCACAACUACCCUGCAGGAGGAAAAAAAUAGCAUCGGCAGCACCACAAUUGAGUCAAUAUUGGAGCCAAAUAAAACCCGCUGUGGAAAUUCA